CCUACGGGUGGCAGCAGUGGGGAAUAUUGCACAAUGGGGGAAACCCUGAUGCAGCGACGCCGCGUGAGUGAAGGAGUAAUUCGUUAUGUAAAGCUCUAUCAGCAGGGAAGAAAAUGACGGUACCUGAGUAAGAAGCCCCGGCUAACUACGUGCCAGCAGCCGCGGUCAUACGAAGGGGGCAAGCGUUAUCCGGAUUUACUGGGGGUAAGGGGAGCGUAGACGGCAGUGCAAGUCUGGAGUGAAAGGCGGGGGCUCAACCCCCGGACUGCUCUGGAAACUGUACGGCUGGAGUGCAGGAGAGGUAAGUGGAAUUCCUAGUGUAGCGGUGAAAUGCGUAGAUAUUAGGAGGAACACCAGUGGCGAAGGCGGCUUACUGGACUGUAACUGACGUUGAGGCUCGAAAGCGUGGGGAGCAAACAGGAUUAGAUACCCCAGUAGUC
rnacentral:rRNA from 1 species